rnacentral:rRNA from 1 species
AACGAACGCUGGCGGCAUGCCUAACACAUGCAAGUCGAACGAGACCUUCGGGUCUAGUGGCGCACGGGUGCGUAACGCGUGGGAACCUGCCCUUAGGUUCGGAAUAACUCCCCGAAAGGGGUGCUAAUACCGGAUAAUGUCUGCGGACCAAAGAUUUAUCGCCUUUGGAUGGGCCCGCGUUGGAUUAGCUAGUUGGUAGGGUAAAAGCCUACCAAGGCGACGAUCCAUAGCUGGUCUGAGAGGAUGAUCAGCCACACUGGGACUGAGACACGGCCCAGACUACUACGGGAGGCAGCAGUGGGGAAUAUUGGAAAAUGGGCGAAAGCCUGAUCCAGCAAUGCCGCGUGAGUGAUGAAGGCCUUAGGGUUGUAAAGCUCUUUUACCCGGGAUGAUAAUGACAGUACCGGGAGAAUAAGCUCCGGCUAACUCCGUG